rnacentral:rRNA from 1 species
UGAUACGUAGGGGGCAAGCGUUGUCCGGAUUUAUUGGGCGUAAAGAGCGCGUAGGCGGCCAGAAAAGUCUGCUGUGAAAGUCCGAGGCUCAACCUCGGAAUGUCGGUGGAAACUUUCUGGCUAGAGUCCGGAAGAGGAGAAUGGAAUUCCUGGUGUAGCGGUGAAAUGCGCAGAUAUCAGGAAGAACACCCGUGGCGAAGGCGGUUCUCUGGGACGGUACUGACGCUGAGGCGCGAAAGCGUGGGGAGCGAACAGGAUUAGAUACCCUGGUAGUCCACGCUGUAAACGAUGGGUGCUAGGUGUGGGGGGUGUCGACUCCCUCUGUGCCGAAGCUAACGCAUUAAGCACCCCGCCUGGGGAGUACGGCCGCAAGGCUA